UACAGAGGUCCCAAGCGUUGUUCGGAUUCACUGGGCGUAAAGGGUGCGUAGGUGGCCAGGUAAGUUCGGUGUGAAGCUCGGAGCUUAACUCCGAAAUGGCAUUGAAUACUAUCUGGCUAGAGGUCGAGGAGACUGAAUCUCGUGUAGCAGUGAAUGCGUAGAUAUCGAGAGACACAGUGCGAGCGAGUCUCUGACGACACUGACACUGAGCA
rnacentral:rRNA from 1 species